UCAAGGUAAGCCGGGAGCUAAGGCGAGGCCGCAAGGCGUAGUCGAUGCACAUACGGUAGAAAUUCCGUAGCCACCGAACCUUAAACCGGAAGGACACUUUGAGAUAGCAGAACCCAGCCGUUGGUUGAGCUGGGCGUAAGGGACUGAAAUAUAGUAGGGAAGUCUGCGAUGCUCAGAGGCGAGAAAAGCUCCGGUGUAUGCUAAGGUGCCCGUACCGCAAACCGACACAGGUAGAUGAGGAGAGAAUCCUAAGGCCAACGGGAGAAGGGUUGUUAAGGAACUCGGCAAAUUGACCCCGUAACUUCGGAAGAAGGGGAGCCUCGAAAGAGGCCGCAGUGAAUAGGCCCAAGCAACUGUUUACCAAAAACACAGGUCUAUGCUAAAUCGAAAGAUGACGUAUAUGGGCUGACGCCUGCCCGGUGCCGGAAGGUUAAGAGGAGAUGUCAGGAGCAAUCCGAAGCAUUGAAUUGAAGCCCCGGUAAACGGCGGCCGUAACAAUAACGGUCCUAAGGUAGCGAAAUUCCUUGUCAGGUAAGUUCUGACCCGCACGAAUGGCGUAAUGAUUUGGGCACUGUCUCGACAGCCCGCCCGGCGAAAUUGUAGUACUGGUGAAGAUGCCAGUUACCCGCAACUAGACGGAAAGACCCCAUGGAGCUUUACUGUAGUUUAAUACUGGGAAUCGGUAAUUCAUGUACAGGAUAGGUGGGAGACUAAGAAGCCGGGGCGUCAGCUUCGGUGGAGUCACCGGUGGGAUACCACUCUUGGAUUGCUGGUUUCCUAACCUGCGGCCCUGAAUCGGGUCGGGGGACACUGUUAGACGGGCAGUUUGACUGGGGCGGUCGCCUCCAAAAGAGUAACGGAGGCGCUCAAAGGUUCGUUCAGCACGGACGGAAAUCGUGCAUUGAGUGUAAACGCAUAAACGAGCCUAACUGCGAGACCGACGGGUCGAGCAGUAACGAAAGUUGGAGUUAGUGAUCCGGUGGUAUGUGAGUGGAAAUGCCAUCGCUCAACGGAUAAAAGCUACCCUGGGAUAACAGGCUGAUCUCCCCCAAGCGUCCACAGCGACGGGGAGGUUUGGCACCUUGAUGUCGGCUCGUCGCAUCCUGGGGCUGUAUUCGGUCCCAAGGGUUUGGCUGUUCGCCAAUUAAAGCGGCACGCGAGCUGGGUUCAGAACGUCGUGAGACAGUUCGGUCCCUAUCUGUUGCGGGCGUAAGAGAUUUGAAGGGAGCUGUCCUUAGUACGAGAGGACCGGGAUGGACAUACCUCUGGUGCACCAGUUGUCCUGCCAAGGGCAUAGCUGGGUAGCUAUGUAUGGACGAGAUAAACGCUGAAAGCAUCUAAGCGUGAAACUCCCCCUAAGAUGAGAUCUCUCAUCCUUUAUGGAGUAAGGGCCCAGAAAGACGAUCUGGUUGAUAGGCCGGAGGUGGGAGUGCAGUAAUGUACGCAGCUGACCGGUACUAAUAGCCCGAGGGCUUGAC
rnacentral:rRNA from 1 species